AAACCAUGCAUCGAUCAUUCUCUAAUUAACUCAUUGAAUCACUCCCAUGCUUCAUAUAAUGUUUCAUCCUCAAAUUGUCGAAAGGACGUAAUGUGUUCCUCAAUUU
rfam:Gossypium raimondii chromosome 11, whole genome shotgun sequence.